UUUAUGUAGGAUUUUAAAGCAAACCCCUAUAAAAGCAGCAUCUUGCCUGUGUUAAACACAAAGCAUGGCACUGCCAUCUCUGGUCGGCUGACAGAAAGCUCAGCGCUUGCCCCCUCGCCAGGACCGUUCAAAAUUAGUGAUGAAGUGGGGGCUGCAGUCCUUAACAGCUCCAAGCAAAGCCUCUUGGUUACAAGGUGUUUUACAAUCCUCCUGGCAUUCCCUGUAAUGAGCUGCAAGCCCUGUUUGAAUUCCCUUGUACUUAAGUUUUUAUUUAUUUGUUCCAUUUUCCUCCCCAUGCAUCCCAGGGCUCCUUUAAUACCCCAGCCGGUGCAAUGGCAACGCUGCUGGGGGGUGUGUUGGGCAGAGCAGUUGUGAGCCUUCCCUGGGUUGAUGUGAUGGAAGAAACUAUAUAGCGUUGAUGCUGCUCCAGCUCUUUUAAGUGGUCCCUUGGUCAGGACUCAGUGUCAUGUAGGUAAAUUCAAUCCAGAAGAAGCGGAUUUUUGGGUGGAAUUUUUACAUUCAUCUCUCACAGCUGUGGAGAGUUUAAACUAAUCACAAUUCUCCCUGGUAUGCUAUCAUCUCUGUAAUUUGAAAAAGGAUCAGGAGCCCACAGGCUUGGAAAAUCUUGAAGAAACUCUUGUCCUGAAAUACAUCAUCACAUGUGGAAAAGACCACUUGCUGCAUCAUCUUAAAGGAGCUUAAUGCCGAAAUCCAGUAUCAUUCUGGCAUUCGUUCAAAUGGCCUUAGAAAUCCGAGUACAUUCUCUCUUGACUGCAAAACAGCUUCUUUCCUUUUCCAUCAAUACUGUGGCUGUCAAUGUGUCUGCUGUAAGGUGCCAAAAAUGUAUGGAGUGUCUCUGGGAUAAUGGUGCCAAAGUUGGGGUGCCUCAAGGCCUUCUCCCAUGAACCCACUGCAGCAUUUGCUCAGUUGGAAAGCAUCUGAAGGGAAAAAAAAAGAAAAAAAAAAAAAGAAAAAAAAAAAGAGGCACGGAUCUUUAAAAUUCCUCUGCAAAGGAAUUAAAAAAAAACUGCAGAUAUUAUUUUUGUGCAGAUUACUGCUUGCUGUUUAGAUCCUUGUUGUUCAAAACUUCUGAAAGGCCCAAAGCAAUCAAAGAGACUGGGUCAAAUUAAUUCCAGACCAGCCCCUGGAAUCACAUUGAGGUGAAGCUGACGUACUGGGCCUUCAGCUAAGCUGUGGCCAGGAGAAGUAUAGGAGACAGGAGUUGAGGUCACAUCCUGAAUUUUGCCCUCUCUUAGGAGAUGAGUGAAUUAAUUUGUGCAAAUCAUGAGUCUUGCUGACUGCAUGGGGCUUGUAUCGGUGCAAACAGAAUGGUUACUGACUGCUGAGGUCUGGAAAAGUGUCAAUCUCAAGUGCAGAACAAUCAUUUUGUCUGGCAACAUUUAUUUAUUUAUUUAUUUUAUUUAAAAAAGACUCUUAAUAGUGUAUCCUCAGGAAGAGAGGACAGAAAGCUGGAAGACUGGCCUGAGUAGAAGCCGUCAUGGUCUCUAAACCACAAGCCACUGCAAGCCUUCUCAGCUGUGUUGAUAAAACUAGCUUUUGGCAGCACAGUGAUGAGGACAAAAUAACUUCCUAGAGCAGGAUGUUAAUUUACCUCCCGUGUUUUCUCUGGGAGAACAAAGAGAACCUUAAUUGAAGCUGAUCAGAGCUUUCCUCAGCUCCCUUCUCUGAAUGAUCGAUCUCUAGUGCUCAGGCGAUGAUAAAGGCUGGCAGAGCCGGGAAGUACCGAAGCUACCAUUUCCUCUGUGCUGUGCUACCUGCAGCCAGCCAGGAGGGAAAUAAAUGCAGGGAGGCCUUCUUCUUGAUGUGGUGAUGACAUGUUGCAGCCCUUUCUGCAUUUCCAGCUCUUGCCCCAGAAGCUGGGGUGGAGGCAGGAGCACAGCAGCUGCCUGUCACCAAGGUGUUGUGCUGCCUUCAGCAAAUGUAAAUGGGUCAUGCCCCAUUUUUCAACCAGUCCAACUUCUUGUGCCCAGUCACAAGUUAUUGCUCUAAUCCUGUUCCUGGUCACACUCCAGUAUAAUAUCAUUUUGAGCGACACCAUGCUUAUUUUCCAGUAGUGGUGCAGUGCAUUAACAUGAGUAAAUUCAGGCCGAAUGUAGAUUCUUGGCCAUAAUUUAGCCAGUAGUAAGCAUUUCUGUGGAUGAAAUUAUUCUCUGUAAAGAUAUCAGAUUGGGAGACAACUUCUUGAAAGACUACUUGGCAGCAAAAGUAGCACUGUGUGCAAGAUUCCUGGUGUAAUGUUAUUCAUUUGUGAUGUUGAGAGACAGCCUUGGAUCAGAGGACCGUAUAAGCUGGAGGCCAAUUCAGUCUUGGACUUCACUGUUGAUCCUUCCAUCAAAGGUGCCAGCUCAGAGCGUGGAUUUUCAGCUUGGUUUUCUGGCACAGCUGCCUCACCCGUGAGGACCAGACUGGCAUUAGGACUGGAACAACUUUCAGUUACUUCCAACCUUUCCUCAGAUUAAUCAUUUCAGGCUUAGGGUGUGUAAGCAACCAUCACCUGGUUCCUAGACUAUCCACUUCUCUUGCAUAGGGAGAUAUUCCUGAGGAGAGCAGCUGUGUCCACAGUGGCAACCUGAGCCCUUGUUGUCAGGAUUAUACAUACUUUUGGAUGUUUGUAGCCACACGUGCCCAUUUUCAAAUGAAUGUAAUAGUUUGGCAUUUACCUAGGGAAGGAUAAAGUUUUCAGGAUAGUACGCAAAGCAGAAAAACACUUGUCUAUGAGCCUUUUCAUGAACCUGGUGUAGUCUUGAAAACUGCCUACAAACAUGACAUUUUGACCUCCAAGAGGGCAUAACAAACACUGGAAAGUCAUUUCUGGAAAAAUAAAAAACAACCCCAAACUAUUAGCUUCUAAGGAAGUGUAUCAAGAAAGUCACACUUGCAAAUCAAUGAUAAUUAUGUGUAACUUCAAAUAAAAAUGGUGUUGCCAGGCACAAUGUGGCUUUGCUGCACCUGCAUUCUCUGGCACUGAGGGUGUCUGUCCCUGUAAAGUAGGGCAGAGGGAGGCACAGUGAUAAAGCAGGGUAAUGCAGGGGAAGCAUCUCAUCACAAGGCAAAAAUAUUUCAAUCUAAAAGAUAGAAAUAAUAAUUAGCAGUAAAUUUAAAAUAACGGGUGGGCCAGGAAGGACCGAAGCUGCGGAACACGAGUAGUAAGGAGCAGGCGUCCAGCAGAGAGGACCAGGGGCUAUAGUGGAAAAAUCCUUCCUACUUGCUGCCCAUUGCACAGCUGCGGCGAGAGACAAACAGCAUGCAAGGCCAUCCUAGCUGAGGGACACGGGAGUUGAAACCAAAGCAGCGAUAGUAUUACAUCACCCUUGCCAAGGCUGGAAAAUAUUUUUAAGGGAUGAUUCUCCAGAUGAAUUGUGAGCUGGGAACAACGAGCCUGUAAGCCAUGGGGUCGUGGUGUGAGUAUGCACGUGAAGGCCCAGCCCAAAGGCACAGAGGAGAGGAAUUUAAGGAAGAUUAUGUGGUCAAAUCUGAAUCUAUGUGCUGCGUGGCUUCUCUGUCUACCUAUAGCUGUGGCAUCAUGCGUGUGGUAAAGCUAGCAGUUUGAGGUAGUCUAGUUUCAGAGCCCUCAGCAGAACAGACUUGGAUAUUUCUUCCUUAGUCGCCAGGAUGCUGCAUCUCAGGGGAAGUUGGAUGUGGCAAAUUACAGGGUUGGUGUUCUCACAUUGGAGGUUCCAGAUAUAUUCCUUUGUUUUACUGCAUAAUAUGUACCUGGUUUCUGGUACAAGAAUGCUGGUCAGUGAAAAUAUAUGUUAGCAUUUGUGUAAUACAUGAUUCUGUCUAUUUGCAUGUGUGACUUUGUAUACGUGCAGUCUUCAGUUAAAAUGACUUAGAAGUAAACCAAGAGGAGCAAUGCCUUUUGCAGUUUCCUUUUAACAUUUCUCUCUUGGAGCUUGAUAAAUGCUAAAAAGAAACCUUAAUCUCUGUAAGUCAGUAAUGAACUUUUAAUUUUGGACUUGAAAUAAAGAGUUUUUUUCCAGGUCAGAUAUUGAAAAGUGUAGUUUUCUAAAGGGGGAAUGUUUAAAGGUGAAGUCAUAGAAAAUAAAAGCUAGAACCCCACUGAUUUCAGUGGUGCCAGGGUUACAUAUUGAAGGUGAAAAUCCAGUCCAUCUAAUUGGAAGUUUCAUUGCUUCUUGCUUGAGGACACGAACUGGUGGCUUUCCUUCCAGCUCCAAGUCAUGUCUCCCAGCAGAGGGCAUUGCAGGGUGACAUUACUGUUUUUAGAACAAGCUGGCAAAAGGUAAAGUGAAUUUCAAGGAGCUGUUUAACUGCUCUAAAAUUUAUUUUAAUGACCUCCACUGGGAGAGUAGAUUAUCAGUCAUUUAAAACCAAAGAUGCCGCUAGUGAACUGUGUAGUUGGAAGAUAAAGGGAAUUUUUCCUUGCAUUCUGAAAAACCUUUAUGCCAGAAAGAGAAAACUAGUGCCAGAAAGUGUUUGCUCUUCAGAGUCUCUAUCACACAAUUUAUUUUCCUCUCUUAAAUGACACUGUAGGCUGAACUGCAAAGGCUUGUUUCAGGCUCAGACCCUCUCGACAUUCUGUAAAAAAUAAUAAACUGUUCGCUUUACAAGUGAAAUGCAGAAUUUAAGUAAAAAUGAUGUGAGCAACAAGGGGAAGAGAGAAACUUCAUCAUUCAUGGUGCAUGUGGUGAAUGACAAACAUAAUUUCAAAAAGUAGACAUAGGAAAUAAGUUGAUUUUUAAAAAGGUGUGCUUUUUAUCAAACCAAGGUGUGCUUUGUAUCAAACCAAGAAGCUGUGGGGUUCCCAUGUACCCAUUGGCAGUGUGUAGCUUUCAGUGCCAGCUUUCUUUUUUUUUUUUUUUUUUUUUUUCUAUUUUUUUUUUCCAGCUCUUCCCCAAGCCCUGCGUCCCUCCACAUUACAUGGCAGGAGCACAUCCAGGGGGAAGACAGGGAGGCAGCUACCGUGCAGGGCAGAUGAAGUCUCCUCUGAAUCUAUCCCUGCAGCCUGGCCCAUCCUGUCCAUCUACCCCUAACUGUAUAGCCAAUCCAUGUCCUGGAAGCAGUGGAUUUCCUGCAAGUGUUCAGGUUGGCUCCACAACGUGGGCAUCCUGUUAUGUCCAGUUUCGUCCAUUCUGUUAGUCCAGUUUAUUGUGUGGCCAUCCAGCAAGCUGAGUGGGCGCAUGCCUUGAAAGAGGGAAGCUAAAGGCUGAGAAGGAGAGACUGAGAGGUGUGUGUAGCAACAGUACUUUCUCUUGUCUAAUAUUUGUUCUUUGGCUGGUCACAAGGGGACCUUAGCGUGUUCAGAAGUUACUAUCAUCAUUGCAGUUUUACAGGUGGAAAAACCGAGGCACACAGGAAGGUAUAUCCUGCUCAGGGUCAUCAAGUAAAAUCACCACAAAAAGUACUAAGACCAAUCCAACCACUCCUGUUGGUGAAGUUUCAGCCUGGUACAUCAUAUACUCACUAGGCUGUGUCAUACUUACGUGCUGCGGUGAGAAAAACUUGCAAAUAUUAAAAAAAAAUGCAGGUGGGCAAGAGUUAAAAAGCAAAUUCUCCUACCUUGAUUUUUUAUAGUUUACAGUGUUAAAACCAAAGGGACUUGAAGAGAGCAAAGGUCCUGCAUUUGAAUUUCAAUGAACGAUACUGAGGGAGUGGUUGGGGUAUUUUAUAAAUACCCUAAAAAUACCUAAUAGGCAUUCUGCUCUGGACGACUUGAAAGGACCGUAACCUUUCCUACAGUUUAACAACACAUUUCUCCAUAAAACUAACUUAGGAGAAAUUCCCUGCAUUCCCACACUGAACACUUAGCAGUCUUUUCAAACUUAUGAUAUGGCUAUAAAUAUAGCUUAUAACCAUAAAAUUAAGGUUAUGUGGACUUGUAACUUUUUAUUUUAUGCUAGCUCUGUGGGCCACUAGCAAAUUCUACAGGGGUUACUGUCCUGAAGUCUGCAAUGAAUUAUGUGAGUAAGGUAAGAGGAAACAAAACAAAAAAUAGAAAGCAACCCUCUCUCUUUAAACAGACACAUUGGCUGUUUAAGGGGAAAAGAAGGGCAAACAAAGGGAAGGGGAAUCCACCAUGAAAUUCACAACUUAUCAUGCUCUACAAUUUCAAUUUAUUUUGACAUAGAUCUUUGUUCUGUACAGGAAACUUGCUAGCCUACAUGGUUGUGAUUGCACUCAGGGGGUGUUUAAUGGCUAUGGAACAACUGAAGAAAAGGUGAUAGAUCUUAUAUGUAAUGAGUAGUGCUUGCUUGGAAAGCUACUGAUGAGAGUCUGUCAACCUGUGCCAGGUGAAGCCCUAAAGUUUUGCAAAAUUUAUAUAUUUUUUUUUACUGUGAUUGUACUAAAAAAUCUUGUUUUCUUUGUAGCUGUGUCCUUGCAAAUUGUAUUAUGGACUGUGAAGUUACAGAGCUCCUGGUUUCUCCAGAAAAAGUGCACUGCAUUUAUUAUGUGGUUUUACAGCAUGUAGAAGAACUCUGGCUUUCCAGUAAUGUAACUCUGAACUAAGACAUAAUAAAGAUAGUCUGCUUUUUUCAGUAGUGACUACAGAGUCAAGUUGCUUCAGCUUUUAGGUUCCUGAACAGAAACUCUUGAAACACCUCUGCUUUUAAGAAAACAGAUGGGCAGAAUUUUCAGGAAAUCAGUCCCUUCUUAGUAGU